UACGUAGGGGGCUAGCGUUGUUCGGAAUUACUGGGCGUAAAGCGCGCGCAGGCGGCUAUCCAAGUCAGUGGUGAAAGCCCGGAGCUCAACUCCGGAACUGCCAUUGAAACUGUUUAGCUUGAGGAUGAGAGAGGUGAGUGGAAUUCCCAGUGUAGAGGUGAAAUUCGUAGAUAUUGGGAAGAACACCGGUGGCGAAGGCGGCUCACUGGCUCAUUACUGACGCUCAGGCGCGAUAGCGUGGGGAUCAAACAGG
rnacentral:rRNA from 1 species